GACGAACGCUGGCGGCGUGCCUAAUACAUGCAAGUCGAACGAAGCUUUUUUAACUGGUGCUUGCACCGACUUAAACAACUGAGUGGCGAACGGGUGAGUAACACGUGGGUAACCUGCCCCAAAGCGGGGGAUAACAUUUGGAAACAGAUGCUAAUACCGCAUAACCACAGAAACCACAUGGUUUCUGUGUCAAAGAUGGUUUCGGCUAUCACUUUGGGAUGGACCCGCGGCGUAUUAGCUAGUUGGUAAGGUAAUGGCUUACCAAGGCAAUGAUACGGAGCCGAACUGAGAGGUUGAUCGGCCACAUUGGGACUGAGACACGGCCCAAACUCCUACGGGAGGCAGCAGUAGGGAAUCUUCCACAAUGGACGAAAGUCUGAUGGAGCGACGCCGCGUGAGUGAAGCAGGUUUUCGGAUCGUAAAACUCUGUUGUCAGAGAAGAACGUGUGUGAGAGUAACUGUUCGUGCAGUGACGGUAUCUGGCCAGAAAGCCACGGCUAACUACGUGCCAGCCGCCGCAGUAA
rnacentral:rRNA from 1 species